rnacentral:rRNA from 1 species
AUCUACAACCAAAACACCUUGAACACACUGGGUCUUAUCUGAUCUGCGAAGCCAAGCAGUGCCAGGCCUGGUUAGUGCUUGGAUGGGAAACCUUAUUAGGUACUGUAGGCA